GGGGGGUGGGAGGAUGGGUUAAAUAUAUAAUGGGAAUUAAGGAAGGCACUUGUAAUGAAUGAUCACUGGAUGUUAUAUGCUAGUGAUGGAUCACUAAAUUCUACCCCCAAAACUAAAACUACACUACAUGUUAACUAACUUGAAUUUAAAUAAAAUCUUGAAAGUAAAGAAAAAAACUUUCCCUUCACUUAUGUCUAUGAAAUUAUGCUUAAGAAUUUAAUUUGCAACAUCAUUUGUUGUUUUCUCUGUGCAUCAACCUUCUUGUUAUAGUUUUGUUUAUGAUAAAAAUUAUGCUGUAAACUAUCUUUUAAUAAUAUAUACCUUAUUGAUUCAUUUGUAAUAGUUUGUUUCUGAAGUUGAAAUGUCCUAGUCAGUGGAAAAAUGUUAGCUGUAGCUUUCUCUCUACAGAAACUGUGACUCUGGACCCCAAAUGUAAGUUGGGCCCUCAGGAUGAAAAUACAUAAUUAUUUUUUAUUGUAUUUAUUUUGUCCAUUUUAUUUACUCUUUAAAGUAAGGAUUUACUGUUUUUGCUCAUAAGAACAGCCAUUCUGGUACAGGAGUAUGCCCUGCUGUAAUGCAAUUCCAUACUCAUAUUAAAUCCAGGUACCCCCUAAAGUGUUACAGGUCUUUCCAACUUAUCCUUGUCAAAAGCAGAAAGCACAUAUAUUUACAGUGUUAUUAACAUUCUAUCAAAGUGUAGGUGUAAAUGCCCAUAUCUACCCUGCCUUGCAUUGGUUACCUCUGUUAAUAUUAAUAGCACAUAAUCAUAAGCAACUUGAUUUCCAAAUCAUAUGUAAUCUCCAAAAAUAUAAAACCACACAAUAAAAUAAACCAAUACUCCCAAUUUUUUUCUAUUCCUCCUUUAAUGGUCACCAAGUCUGUAGAUAAUAAAAGCAAGAAGAGAACAAUGUGAUAUGAUUUAAUAUAAUAAAUAUAAUAUUGUGUACAUAUAACUAUAUUAAUACAAUUCAGUGUUUAGUAAAUAUGUUUAGUAAAGACAAAUGUCUUUACCAGAAGAGCAUGUUUCAUAAGGUAUUUAGAAAAUAUGGUAGGGGCAGCUGAGUGGCUCAGUCAGUUAAGUGUCCAACUUUGUCUCAGGUCAUGAUUUCAUGGUUCAUGAUUUCGAGCCCUACAUUGGGCUCUCUGCUGUCAGCACAGAGCCUGCUUUGGAUUCUCUGUCCCCCUCUCCAUCUGCCCAUCCUCUGUCCAUGCAUACUCUCUCACUCUGUCUCUCAAAAAUAAACAUUUAGAAAAAAAGAAAAUAUGAUAGUGACUUGCCCAAUGAACCUAUGAGAAAUUAUUAAGUUGCUAAUGUGAGUAGUUUUAUAUUUAUGUUUGUUUUUUCCACUGUUUUUUUUUUUUUUGGCAACGCUUCUAGAAAGUGGUACUCAUUUUAUUUGUUUUAUGAGAUGUUUCUACUAUAAAUUACUGUGUCAUCUUUACCUGUUUGUUAAAAUAACCAAGAAUCUGUUUUAAGCCCACAGAUUUAUUGCUAAAUUAUAACUCUAUCCCUGUGUCUCUUAUACUUAAAACACAUUAGGUUUCUACAUAACAAUUCUCUAUCAAUCCACAUUAGAAGGCUCACUAUUGUGUCAAAUUUUAGUGUGGUUAUUAUACCUGAUAUAGUAAUCCACAGAAGUGGAGUGUGAACUUUGAUUUGUUUCUAUCAUUUUACUAGAUGCUGUAGACACAAUCCCCAAUCACUCAAAACCUACACAAUCAUCUUAACCUAUGUCAGUCAGUUUAUCACACAAGAUCAACUACUUGAUAGACUUUUGCUAUGAAUUACAUAUAAUAUUUUACUUGAAUUUAGCCAAGUUAAUAAAAUAGUUCCCACAAAACUUUUGGAUUCCAAAGUAGUUAGGAUGAUGGGACAGAGUCUAUUGACCUGCGUGGGCUGAAUAUCAACCAAAUUCAUGUGUUGAAGCCCUAAUCCCCAAUUGUCUGCCUUUGGAGAUAGAGCUUUUAGGAGAUAAUUAAGGUUCAAUUAGGUCAUAAAGGUGAGGCUCUAAUCUGACAAGACUGAUGGCCUUAUAAGAAGAAAAGAGAAGUCUCUCUCCACAUCCAUGUGCUCAGAGGAAAGGCGGUGUGAGUACUGCUGCAAGAAGGCAGCUAUCUGAAAGUGAGGAAAAGAGUUAUCAGCAGAAACUAAACCCUGCCAGAAAGUAAUCUGAACUUCCAGCCUCCAGAAUUGUGAGAAUAAGUUUUUUGGUUUUUUUUUUAAAUGCCACCCAGCCCAUGAUAUUUUGUAAUGGUGGUCUUAGCAGACUAAUACAUGAUUUAUACCCAAUAGUGCCAAAAUUCUGUAAAGUUGGUGAUUUGUAUUACCUAGUUGACACACACUGAAAUAAAGUUGACAAUGAAAAUGGUCUUUCAAUUUUGAAAUCUCUCAGCAAUUUGAAUUAUUGAUCUUAUCACAGAUUUUUAUGUCUGAUUUAUAUUUAAGUAAUGCAUUUCAAUAAAUUGCUAUUUUAGUCACUGCAAACAAUGUACAUUGUUUACAAUAGUACAGAUGUACAGAAAUAAUAUAUGAAACAUUUAUCAACCUCAUGUAUGGCAUGCACAUUAGUCAAUUAAAAUGGACGUCCAACCAAUGAGAACAGAAAAUAGCUGCUAUUUUAAGCUUUCCCAUUGAGUGGCAGAUCUGCCUACUCAUACAUCAGUAUGAUUUUUUAAAUGAGUGAUAGUACCAACAAUAGUUGAUGCAGUGAGCCUUCCGAGUCAUUUCUUUGAAAUAAUUUUAUAGUUCUUCUUCUAUAAAUGGUUUGUGAAUAAACCUGACUUAUUUAUGGAAUAUAGUGCAUUAUAAGAGUUACAACAAGGUAAGUUUGAGAUGAGGUGCCUCUUUUUUAAAAUUUUUUUAAUGUUUAUUUAUUUUUGAGAGAGAGAGAGAGUGUGCAAGUGGGGGAGAGGCAGAGAGCGAGCGAGACACAGACUCUGAAGCAGGCUCCAGGAUCUGAGCUGUCAGCACAGAGCCCGAUGUGGGGCUCAAACCCACAAACUGUGAGAUCAUGACCUGAGCCAAGUCUGAUGCUUAACCAACUGAGCCACCCAGGCACCCUAAGAUGAGGUGCCUCUUGAAGAGAAUAACUAAACAUUUUGGAAAGAAAAAUGCACAUGCUUGCUGAAUGCAUUGACUUGUAAAUGGAAAAAAAGAAAAGCCUGUCUAGCGCCUUUCCAAAGAAGACAUCCAGAUGGCCAACAGACACAUGAAGAGAUGCUCAACAUCACUCAUCAUCAGGGAAAUACAAAUCAAAACCACAUUGAGAUACCACCUCACACUGGCCAGAGUGACU